ensembl:lncRNA
AUGAGUGUGAAUGAGGGGAUGGAGCUUAGGGACACUGAAGCAUCUCCAGAACUCAGCUGUGUGUCUAUGAAGAGUGAAGCAUCACUGAAUGAUCCGCUUGAUUUCAGUGGUGAAGCAGUGACCUCUGACCCCAGACUGAAGAUCCAAAAAGCUGCAUAUCCAGAACCCAACUGUUUGUCUAUGAAGAGUGAAGCAUCCUUGAAUGAUCCAAUUGAUUUCAGAGGUGAAGCAGUGACCUCUGACCCCAGCGAUUUUUAACAGUGUGGGAGCAUCGGUAGAACAACAGUGAACUGCGGUGAGAUGAGAUGUUUUUUUUUUACUUUUUUUUUUUUUUUUUUUUGACAUUUAUUGAACCUUAACAAAAAAAGUCAUUCGAAGUUUCAGAUUUACAAUCAAACCUGAGCGUACAUACAAAUAUUACAACACAAUAUACAUAUUCACAUCAGCAGGCAAGAAAAGUUGAAGCCUAGGUGAAAAUAAAACUAAAAGAAAAAGAAAAAAUUUAAAUAAA